AUUUGCUUAAUGUCAAACUCUCAGCACGUUGGGCCAAAGGUACAGUUUCUGCUGUUUAGUGUCAACACAGCCAUUGUCUCAACCAUCAGAAGGAAACCCAUUCCCUAGUCUGCACUGGCCUCUUCCUUUAUAUGGGUCUUGACUUUAGGGAGGCUCACCGAGGUCUCAGGAGUAAUAUGGGUUUGUGGAGAAAGAAGUGAGAUAAGAUCCUGAAAGCCACCAUCUCUGACAUGCAUCCACCCAGCCUCAUUCAGCCCAUGCUCCCCUCCUCCUUAUGCCAUAGGAAACAUGAAAUGACUCUUCUUAAUUUAAUACAAUCUUUUGUUCUUCUAGGGCACACAGUCUUCACCUUAAGACUCUCGGGACUUUUCCUUGAUGACCCUGUUUCAUUGCCCUUGUUUCCCAAGGAUGCUGAGACAUUUCUGGAAUCUGUGGAUAAUAACUUGCUUUUUUCUUUUCCUUUAACAGUCUCCUGGAUUGACUUUGACAUCUGGGUCCUGACAGCAACACCUCCCCAUUUCAAAACAAGUUUACAUGCUCCUGAUGUGGUAUUAAUAUGUAGUGUUGCAGCCGUAGCUAAUGCUUAUUUGCGUCAUAUGCAUUCAGUUUUCUCCUAACUGAAAUGUUUUGCUUCAAAUCACACCCUGAGACAUGGGCUACAUGGAUCACGAAACCUCCUGUGUGUUAGCCCUGUGUACCUUCCCUCUCGUUCACCCUCCACAUUUCCCAUCUCUGAGCCCCUCAGCUUUAUAGGGAUGUCAGCUUGGCCCCAAUGUAGUCCCAUUUACAGCCAGACUCCUGGACUUGCCUAUGAGCCAUCCUCAUUUCCAAAAAGGCGAUACUGGGUAUGUACAUUGUAUGAAA
rnacentral:lncRNA from 1 species